CGGGUGAGUAAUAUAUCGGAACGUGCCCAGUAGUGGGGGAUAACUGCUCGAAAGAGCAGCUAAUACCGCAUACGACCUGAGGGUGAAAGGGGGGGAUCGCAAGACCUCUCGCUAUUGGAGCGGCCGAUAUCAGAUUAGCUAGUUGGUGGGGUAAAGGCCUACCAAGGCAACGAUCUGUAGUUGGUCUGAGAGGACGACCAGCCACACUGGGACUGAGACACGGCCCAG
rnacentral:rRNA from 1 species